UGAGAGCCAUGGAAAGGUAGAGAGAGGUUUCCACCAUUAAUAGAAAUCUUGGAUUAACAGUCUUUGGAAACAGCUUGCAUAAAAAGAAUGAAGGGUUGUGUGUAUCUCCAGAAGGUGCCCCCACAACAUCCUGCUGGCUCCCUUUGGUGAGUGUAAAACGGCAUGCAGCAGGGAGCUAUACAGAGAAAGUAUAGUAAAUUGAGAGGAGUAAGCAUGCCGGUAUGGAUUACAAGGGAAGCGUGCAAAAACUGUAGGACCCAUGUAAGAAUUGAGUAAAACCCAUUUUUCCCUCAACUACACAACAGAAGUCAUGAAGGAACACCAGUUUCCGAUGGACCACAUUAUGAUACAAAACUGUAUGACUCUGUAUGGGAACUGUUGAACCACGGCCUGAACCUCUGAUUGAUCACCUGAGGCAAGCACUGAGUCAGCUGCAGGAGCACAGGUGAAGGCAAUUCAGCUGUGUGGCCGGAAGGGCUGAAGCCUGGCUGCACCUCUCCUAGACCCCAUUUAAGGGCUGACUGCCACCGAAGAAGGAUCUCUUUCCAGAGAUUGCUCCUCUUUGAGUUUCUCCUGCAGUCCUACAACACGGUUCACAUCAGGCUGGGUAGAUUUCUGCGCAGUUCCCAGCUGAGUCACCAGAGAGGGGCCCGCCUUCAUCAUGGAUCAAUUUGAUUUCAAGCCCUGACAAAUACCCAGCUUCAAGACGGGGGACAAACUGUAAUGUGCUUUAUGAGAACACAAGGAAAUGAUGAAAAGUUCAAGAGUGACAGCUUGAAGUUCUGUAUGCAUACAAAAAGGACAACGUGAAUAAUGUCAGCAUGCACUUCCCCUUCCCUUCAGGAGCUCCAGAAUAUUUUAGAUGUGUAAAAAGAAUGUACUACUGUGACCUGACAUUACAAGUAUUUGAGGGGCAAAACCACAGCACUUCUAUAUUGACAGAUCACAUACUCUUAAUGCUGAGAUAUAUUUAUCUAUCUAGUACUCUAAGAUGCUGAAGGGGUAGGAUGUGCUUGAGAUAAAAAUAUGUUGGUACUGUUGAAUCAUACCAAAAACUUAACUUAAAAGACCUUCCUCUGACAAAAGCAACAACAACAAAACUGAAACAUAAAAUAUGCUAGACCUUCUUAUUUAAAUAGUAUUUGAAUUGAGCCAUUCUGACUACAAAGGCUUGAAGCCUGGAUACAGCCCUGAACUAAUUUCCUGCCUUUUGCUUUUGUUUGUCAGUUAACGUCAUACAGAUCAUGUCAUAUAAAUGAAGCUGAACACUGUUUAGGUCUUAGUGUUAGCAAACAAGAAAUCAUGAUUUGAUUCUUGCAUUCUGUGCCUCUGUCCUUGAGCCAACUCUGUGUGCUUUGUGCUUGCUACAGCACUGCACGUAUAACUGAUUGUUGGUAAUACUGAAAAUGACAUGCAUAUUGAAAUGCUUGCAAGACUGAAGUUUUUAACAUAAAAUAAAUGAGUACUUUGCUUUUGGGUUUCUUUGUUUGUUUUGUUUUGUUUUUUUGGCUGAAGAGUUGAGAGCAUUUUAUCUUAGGCCAACUGGAAAGUUACCUUUCAUUUCCUUCUCCCCCCCAAUAUUGUUUGUUUAAAGUGUUUUUACUUUUUUAUACAAGUCAAAUUAAAUUUAGAGAUAAAGAGCUGUUUUAAACUGAAAAUCAGAAUAUUUCAUACUGGAAGUGCUUAAAUCAUUAGAAGACCAAAAGAGUAAUCUUCUAGAAAUUCACAAAACAAUCCUUCUGUGUAAUUUUGGAGGGUAGAAGAUAUUAUUAAGAAUAUAUAUUUUUUCUAAUAUUAGAUGUUUUAAUAUUAUAAAAUCAUGGAAUGGUUGGGUUGGAAGGGACCUCAAAGCCCACCCAUUCCUACCCUGUGCUGUGGGCAGGGCUACCACCCACCAGUUUGGGCUGCCCAGGGCCCCAUCCAACCUGGCCUUGAACCUCCAGGGAUGAGGCUCAUUCUCAGCACCUCACUGCCCACUGAGAAAAGAAUUUUUUUCAACAUCUACCCUAGAUUUCCCCUCUUUUAGUUUAAAGCCAUUCCUCCUUGUUCUGUUGCUAUCAGACCACUUAAAAAGUUGGCCCCCCUCCUGCACAAUAUUAUCAGUAACAUGGUCAGUAACUUUUUACCCAUUUCCAGUUGUAACAUCUGCUCUAUGCUGAGAGACGUACAUUCAACCUGACCAACCUGGCUGCUUGUUCUUCAAAACCAAUGCUAGCGAGGAGUUACAGCGUUUUCUAUUUCUGCAUUUGAGCAUGGAGGAUGGAAAAAGUACCAAGCUCUGAGCUAUGCUCAAUGAAACAGAAUCCCGUCCAGAUCCUCAGUCUGAUACAAAGUCAAGAAAAGUGGCUUCAGGAAACUAGGGACUGUGAAUAUCACUGAUUUAAGAACUGGAUAAUUUAUAAAUCUAUUUAAUCUCCAGCCAACGAUUCUUUCCCUGCUAACAGCUUGCAAAGCAGAGUUAACCUUUUAGGCUAUUAUUUCAAG
ensembl:lncRNA